AUUACGAGACCACACAGAUAUGGAUAUUCGAAAGUUCACUUUAUAUUGUGGCUUGUCGAUUUGAUGCUUGUGAUGCUAUAUGUGGCACUUUAAACUGUAGAAAUGUUGUGGUCAUGUUUGGAGGUGGGCGUUAGUUCCAUAACUCUCUGCUCCUCCAUGUGAUAUGAAUGUUUUAGUUCAUACAUUAUAAAAAGGACAGGACUGCAGUUAUAGUUGACCACAUUUUCGAAAUGGUGGUCAGUAAUUCACAAGAGUUGUACAUGUGCGGCAUCCCAUUGUAUUAAAAUCUUGGCCCCACUGUGGAUUGAACAUUCCACAAAAGUUAUACUGAUCAAACCAUCCCUAACCAUCCGACUAGUGACUAUCAAGUGGAUGGUUAAAAAUAAAAUGGUGAACUGUCCCAAUUCAGCAGUCUAAAUUGCUUAGUUAAGAUAGUCAAUUUUCUGGCUAUGCUCCAUACACAUUGGGGCCGAUGGAUUGGAAAGUCUGGAUUUUCAUGUACGCAUACGAUUUUUAUGGUGGAUGAGUCAGCACCUGAAUCUAGCCCUCCACUGCAUGAGAUUUCAAGCUUUGACAAAGUGGGAGCAGCACUAGAUGACGGAAAGUGGUGAUAUUAUCAAUCAUAAAGCAGAGUAUUGAUGAGUUACUCUGUAGUUGAGGUUUUUGUGCAGUGUUGCUGCUACUGCUUUACUAAGUAGUAUCAUACUCACUGCUUGCGCUGUUGGCUCAUCGAAACUUUUUACUCGAAAUGCAAACAAGAAAGAUAAGGCAGCUAGAUAGAAAGAUUUCACAGUUUAUUCAGCUCCGUAUGCCAAAAUGCUAGAAUUAUGGAAAUAGCAAAUAUUCGUUCUGAUCCUAUUAAUCUUCAGAGAAGUAAUAUUAUGCUCGAGUCAAUAACUCGUAUGCCCUUUUUUUCCUAUUGACGCUCCAGUUUUGUUAUCUCUUUGAAAACAUGUCCUUCAGAAUUUUCUGUGCAAAUAGGUUACAAUCCAUGCCACUGUAACUUGCAGGUGACACUGAGCCUGUGAAAAUGUUUGAGCGAACGGCAAAUCUGUUGAACAAUCAAAUCAUCAAUUACUGAUCCUUCCAAGAAAUGGCUUGUUUUGAUUGGCAUUGCUCCUGGUGCACCUGAGAGGCCACAACUUGUUAAGGGGAACAUGCAACUGUUUUCCGUAGACCAGCAACAUAGUCAAGCUUUAGAAGCACAUGCGGCAGCCUUUGCAACGUUUAAAGUUGGUGGAAAUGAGAAUCCUUCUACUCUUAUUUGCUUCGCAUCAAAGACCAUGAAUGCCGGUCAAAUUAUUUCUAAGUUGCAUGUCAUCGAACUCGGUGCUCAGCCAGGUCAUUGCUUAUUUUAGAAACAGUAGAUGAUGAGAGUAUUAGCGUGUUGGAAGUACCUAGCUAGUGCAUGAAGGCAAUAUGAUGUUAGAAGAUUUCCUCACCCCAACUGAGAUGAAAGAUCAACUCACAAACCUUGCUAGAGUAGUAGAGCUGGUUGUUGUUAUUUAUUUAUUUAUAUUCAAAACCAUUUUCAAUUUAUUGUAAUAAAUAUUAUAUUUUUUUUAUUGUCUAGUAAUAUAAAUUUUGUUUAAUAUUCAGUUUUAUUUGUAUG